rnacentral:misc_RNA from 1 species
GCAAUUGUGAGUGCUGGAGGUAACUUUGGUGGAGGACGAGCACACUAUCAUCUUCGACAAAUUGGAAUCUACAUUGAUCUUCAUUUCAUUAACAAGCCUGAACUUUUCGUGUUUGCAUUUGAAUCACCACCAAAGUUUGACAGCAACGGUGUGCUGAUACAUGAAGAAACCAAGCACAAACUCAGAUCAGUCCUUUUAGCUUUACAGGCAUUUGCCUUGAGACUCAAAAGUCAAGUAUGAAUAGCUUCUAAUUGUAUCCCUUCAAUAAUUUUCAACUCUGUUU